rnacentral:rRNA from 1 species
CCUACGGGCGGCAGCAGUGAGGAAUAUUGGUCAAUGGGCGCGAGCCUGAACCAGCCAAGUAGCGUGAAGGAUGAAGGCCCUACGGGUUGUAAACUUCUUUUAUAAAGGAAUAAAGUGAGGCACGUGUGCCUUAUUGUAUGUACUUUAUGAAUAAGGAUCGGCUAACUCCGUGCCAGCAGCAGCGGUAAUACGGAGGAUCCGAGCGUUAUCCGGAUUUAUUGGGUUUAAAGGGAGCGUAGAUGGGAUGUUAAGUCAGUUGUGAAAGUUUGCGGCUCAACCCUAAGAUUGCAAUUGAUACUGGCGGCCUUGAGUACAGUUGAGGUAGGCGGAAUUCGUGGUGUAGCGGUGAAAUGCUUAGAUAUCACGAAGAACUCCGAUUGCGAAGGCAGCUUACUAAACUGCCACUGACAUUGAUGCUCGAAAGUGUGGGUAUCAAACAGGAUUAGAUACCCCGGUAGUC